UGAGCUGCUAAUUUGGCUUUAUGGGCCUU
rnacentral:sRNA from 1 species